rnacentral:rRNA from 1 species
CAGGAUUCUCUUAGUAACUGCGAGUGAACAGAGAUUAGCCCAAUAUCGAAGCUCACAAGCUAAAUUGUUUGUUGAGCAAUGUGAUAUUAAGAUGUUUGCUAACGUAUAGUGGCCGACUUGAAGUCCAAAUUUGAAUGUGGCAUAUUCAGUAUGAACCCCAAAGAUGGUGAGAGUCCCGUUCAAGUUGGUAAUCAGAUGUGACAUUAUGCGUAUAUGCAUUCAUCUUGGAGUCGGAUUGCUUGAGAAUGCAGUCCAAAGUUGGUGGUAAACUCCAUCUAAGGCUAAAUACCUGUACGAGUCCGAUAGUUAACAAGUACCGUGAGGGAAAGUUGAAAAGUACUCUGAAGAGAGAGUAAACAGUACGUGAAACUACAAGGAGGUUAAUCAGAUAGAGUCAAGCUGCUU